GCCAGGCAUGGUGGCUCAUGCCUGUAAUCCCAGCACUUUGGGAGGCUGAGGUGGGUGGAUCACCUGAGGUCAGGAGUUCAAGACCAGCCUGACCAACAUGGAGAAACCCCGUCUCUA
rnacentral:SRP_RNA from 2 species